rnacentral:rRNA from 1 species
UUCGCCCUUAGAGUUUGAUCCUGGCUCAGAUUGAACGCUGGCGGCGUGGCUAAAGCAUGCAAGUCGAACGGGUCCGCAAGGACCAGUGGCGGAAGGGUCAGUAACACGAUCGAACGUGCCCCGAGGUGGGGGAUAGCGGCGGGAAACUGCCGGUAAUACCCCAUGAUCUCUCCGGAGCAAAGGUUUACCGCCUUGGGAUCGGCGAUCGUCCUAUCAGCUAGUUGGCGGGGUAACGGCCCACCAAGGCUAUGACGGGUAGCAGGUGUGAGAGCACGACCUGCGACAUCGGGACUGAGACACUGCCCGGACUCCUACGGGAGGCUGCAGCGACGAAUCUUCCGCAAUGGGGGCAACCCCGACGGAGCGACGCCGCGUGUGGGAUGAAGCGCCUACGGCGUGUAAACCACUGUCAGGGGACAGAACCAAUGAUCGUCCCCAGAGGAAGAGACGGCUAACCCUGUGCCAGCAGCCGCGGUAAGACAGGGGUCUCGAGCGUUAAUCGGAAUCACUGGGCUUAAAGGGUGCGUAGGCGGACCGACACGCGUCCCGUGAAAGCCCCCGGCUCAACCGGGGAACUGCGGGGCGAACGAGCGGUCUCGAGGCAGGUAUGGGCGGGCGGAACCGUAGGUGGAGCGGUGAAAUGCGUAGAUAUCUACGGGAACGCCGAAGGUGAAAACAGACAGCUGGGCUUGUUCUGACGCUGAGGUACGAAAGCGUGGGGAGCGAACGGGAUUAGAUACCCCGGUAGUCCACGCCGUAAACGAUGUGCACUAGAUCGAGGAGGAUCUGACUCCAUUCUC